AUGGACCUACGUGACCGAGGACACUCAACUAAGGCACGGAGAACCCUAAAAGCGUUCCAAAUAAAGAAAGACACCAAGCCAACUAAGACCAGCGAGGAUACAUCCAACUCCACCAUAUUGAAGGCUCGGAAUCAACAACAAACUUCGAUGCAGGCAAUUUUCAAACAAGCAGUUAAGAAAUCCCUGGAGGAACUGCUUUUUGGGAUAAAUUAAAUCACUUAAGGAUAUGGUGGAAGCCUCCAACACGUCUAUCAUUAAACUCUUAAACAACAUUGCCAGCCAAUCUGUCACAUGCAAGUCUCUGGAGCGUGUUGAGAUGCAGGUUAGCGCCAGGGCAACUACAGAUGACAUAGCCAGCCAAGUCUCUGGAGCGUGUUGCGAUGCAGGUUAGCGCCAGGGCAACUACAGAUGACAUAGCCAGCCAAGUCUCUGGAGCGUGUUGAGAUGCAGGUUAGCGCCAGGGCAACUACAGAUGACAUAGCCAGCCAAGUCUCUGGAGCGUGUUGAGAUGCAGGUUAGCGCCAGGGCAACUACAGAUGACAUAGCCAGCCAAGUCUCUGGAGCGUGUUGAGAUGCAGGUUAGCGCCAGGGCAACUACAGAUGACAUAGCCAGCCAAGUCUCUGGAGCGUGUUGAGAUGCAGGUUAGCGCCAGGGCAACUACAGAUGACAUAGCCAGCCAAGUCUCUGGAGCGUGUUGAGAUGCAGGUUAGCGCCAGGGCAACUACGGAUGACAUAGCCACCUGCCGAGAUGCGGUGAAGCAACUGCGGGAGAAAAUGACGUCGCUAUAACGAAACAGGAGUAGACCCAGAUGCAGACACAGGACGCAGAUGGUUCGAGUCUCAGAGAUGUAAUAUAUACAAGGGGUAGGCAAAUGGCAGGUCCAGGUCAUGCAGAGAUCAGUAAUCCUAAUAAGAGUCAGGCAGGCGAAGAACGGCAGGCUCAGGAUCAGGAACGCCAACAGUGGCGGACGAACAUCUGGGCCGAGGGCAUGUUGACUUCUUCCUCUUCCUCAGGGA